AUUGAACGCUGGCGGAAUGCUUUACACAUGCAAGUCGAACGGCAGCACGGGUGCUUGCACCUGGUGGCGAGUGGCGAACGGGUGAGUAAUGCACCGGAACGUAUCCAAUAAUGGGGGAUAACGCACCGAAAGGUGUGCUAAUACCGCAUACGCCCUGAGGGGGAAAGCGGGGGAUCGUAAGACCUCGCGUUAAUGGAGCGGCCGAUGCCGGAUUAGCUAGUUGGUGAGGUAAAGGCUCACCAAGGCGACGAUCCGUAGCUGGUCUGAGAGGACGACCAGCCACACUGGAACUGAGACACGGUCCAGACUCCUACGGGAGGCAGCAGUGGGGAAUUUUGGACAAUGGGCGCAAGCCUGAUCCAGCCAUUCCGCGUGAGUGAAGAAGGCCUGGUGUAAG
rnacentral:rRNA from 1 species